UACGGGGGGAGCGAGCGUUGUUCGGAAUCACUGGGCGUAAAGGGCGCGUAGGCGGUUGGGUAAGUCAGAGGUGAAAUGCCAGGGCUUAACCUUGGAAUUGCCUUUGAUACUGCCUGGCUAGAGGACGGAAGAGGAUAGUGGAAUUCCUGGUGUAGCGGUGAAAUGCGUAGAUAUCAGGAAGAACACCGGUGGCGAAGGCGGCUAUCUGGUCCGUUACUGACGCUGAGGCGCGAAAGCCAGGGGAGCAAACGGG
rnacentral:rRNA from 1 species